ACGUUAUUCGGAAUCACUGGGCUUAAAGCGCGUGUAGGCGGCCCGGCACGUCAGUCGCUGAAAUCCCCCGGCUCAACCGGGGAAGUGGCGUUGAUACGACCGGGCUGGAGGGGGGUAGGGGGGACGGGAACUCACGGUGGAGCGGUGAAAUGCGUUGAGAUCGUGAGGAACGCCCGUGGCGAAAGCGCGUCCCUGGACCCCACCUGACGCUGAGACGCGAAAGCCA
rnacentral:rRNA from 1 species